CGUGUGUUCGGCGUUUGUGCAUCAUGAGUCAUGACAAUCCACGCUCGGGAUGGACAAGCAUCACCCCUGAAAUGGAUGUAGUUUUCGAAUAAAGAGUGUACCACUGAUGUCACCAAAGUGGAACCAGCCACCCCACUUGGGAAUCCAGCUGGGACCUUCCACAUUCAACUGGAACCAUUCCGGGACCAUCAAACAUCCAACUGGACCCAGUCCAGAUUCAACUGGAACCAUUCUGGGACCAGUCCAGAUUUUCGCCUGGGGAGCGUUCACCAAGUGCCGGCGUUCACUUUGAGUGACCAUGACUUCGAAAGGGAAAAACAACUUUCUCAUCGUGAAAUUUCCUGGAGAAAACAACGACGUAGCUGUGGUACAUGCAAGCUGGGUGGACGGGAUGUUUUGUUGGUGGCCACCUGAGAAGAAUUCAAACAAACUGAGAACUAUGGUAAUCAAGGGACAAACACCAGCGCAAGACUGGAGAAGAGUGGAGUGCGGUGUGCUAGAUGGAUUUAGCUCCUAUGAAGAUGCAAGGAAAAAGCUCCCUGCAGCUGAACAGACAUCAGACUUGCAGUCGGAUGCAGAGCCAAAACGUGUGCGAAGGAAACCGUCUCGACUGAUACACAGCAGCAGCUCUGAUAGUGACAGUGGGCAAGCAACAUUGCCACCUCCUCCAGGUAUGAUAUCUAUACCUCUGUUAUUCAACCGCUCCCAUUUUGC